GGCCUAAAGCGUCCGUAGCCGGGCCCGUAAGUCCCUGGCGAAAUCCCACGGCUCAACCGUGGGGCUUGCUGGGGAUACUGCGGGCCUUGGGACCGGGAGAGGCCGGGGGUACCCCUGGGGUAGGGGUGAAAUCCUAUAAUCCCAGGGGGACCGCCAGUGGCGAAGGCGCCCGGCUGGAACGGGUCCGACGGUGAGGGACGAAGGCCAGGGGAGCGAACCGGAUUAGAUACCCGGGUAGUCCUGGCUGUAAAGGAUGCGGGCUAGGUGUCGGGCGAGCUUCGAGCUCGCCCGGUGCCGGAGGGAAGCCGUUAAGCCCGCCGCCUGGGGAGUACGGCCGCAAGGCUGAAACUUAAAGGAAUUGGCGGGGGAGCACUACAAGGGGUGGAGCGUGCGGUUUAAUUGGAUUCAACGCCGGGAACCUCACCGGGGGCGACGGCAGGAUGAAGGCCAGGCUGAAGGUCUUGCCGGACACGCCGAGAGGAGGUGCAUGGCCGCCGUCAGCUCGUACCGUGAGGCGUCCACUUAAGUGUGGUAACGAGCGAGACCCGCGCCCCCAGUUGCCAGUCCUCCCCGCUGGGGAGGAGGCACUCUGGGGGGGCCGCCGGCGAUAAGCCGGAGGAAGGAGCGGGCGACGGUAGGUCAGUAUGCCCCGAAACCCCCGGGCUACACGCGCGCUACAAUGGGCGGGACAAUGGGAUCCGACCCCGAAAGGGGAAGGGAAUCCCCUAAACCCGCCCUCAGUUCGGAUCGCGGGCUGCAACUCGCCCGCGUGAAGCUGGAAUCCCUAG
rnacentral:rRNA from 1 species